GCCAGGAUAGCUCAACCGGAAGAGCAACGGUAUCGUAAACCGUAGGUUGUGGGUUCAACUCCCACUCCUGGCU
rnacentral:tRNA from 1 species